rnacentral:misc_RNA from 1 species
AGAAAGAAAGAGAAAAAAAAAAAAUUAAAGUAAUAGUUAUAGUGAAUAUGUUAUACAGAGUACACCAAGGAAACCCAAUUCAAUUGAAGGAACAGAGAGCAAAAGAUUAAGAAGGAAAAUCUGAGUUAUACCCACUAGAAAUCGCAAGAGGAGUGGAGAAGCUAGAGGUGGCAGAACUUCCAACUCUAUUUCGCCUGCAACAUUUACCAAGAGAAGCAAAGGCUGCAGAAGCUGACUUCAUUAAAACCUUGAAAAUCUUCACCUUUAUCUGGCCUCUUCUAGGAGGGAGAGUUUGCUGGUGGCGGCGUUGGUGGUGCUGCUGGGUGGACUCAUUAGAGGGUGAAAGCUCCAUUUUCUUGGAGAUGGGUAGUGAU